UACGGAGGGGGCAAGCGUUAUUCGGAUUUACUGGGCGUAAAGCGCACGUAGGCGGAUCGGAAAGUCAGAGGUGAAAUCCCAGGGCUCAACCUUGGAACUGCCUUUGAAACUCCCGGUCUUGAGGUCGAGAGAGGUGAGUGGAAUUCCGAGUGUAGAGGUGAAAUUCGUAGAUAUUCGGAGGAACACCAGUGGCGAAGGCGGCUCACUGGCUCGAUACUGACGCUGAGGUGCGAAAGCGUGGGGAGCAAACAGG
rnacentral:rRNA from 1 species